rnacentral:lncRNA from 1 species
GCCAUUUCAAACACCCCAAUUUUGGCCCAAAGUUUUUUUCCACCCAGCUGGCCCAAAUAAAACAAACAACCCAAACUCAAUCCCUUCCCCUUUGUUAAAUUAGACCUGAGAGAGAGAGCUAGGGACACGUGAAAUACGUGACCCCUUCCCCAUUUUCCAUCUUCUUCUACACAUAAAUACACACAGGCCAUCUCUAAUUUCGGAGAGCUUCUUCUGGGGAUACACCCACGCGAAAAAGCCAUCUGACCCCUCCCCUCUCGUUCAUAACCUCCUGGAGCAGAACACGAAAAAACAAACUCCUCCAGUCCUUCUCAAAUCAAAACAAAAAUCACAAAAAUAGAGGGAUUCUUCUCGAUCGCCAUUUUCUAGAACCCCAGAGAACAUCCCAAAAGAAAAUACAAAAAAACUUCAUUAGUUGAAGGCUACAUCGCCCAUUUAAAUCUUGAGAUUCUUUUUUUUUUAAUAUUCUCUGGACGAUUUCGGAUCUGGCGGAGCUGAAAGAUUUCCUUGCUUGUUGAGUUCACUACCUGUUGUUGUAGCCGAUUUGUCCCAGUCUAUUGAUUUCAGCUCUUGCUCGGUGUUCUAGUUGUUUUACUGCCUAUUAAGGUAUUUUCUUCAAAUCUCCAACAAUGUAAUUGCCAUAUUGGUCGAUUAAAUGUCAUUAUAUGCUGCAAUCUAUUCAUUGACAUGUCCAUUGUAAUUUUUAUGCUGGUCACAUUUCCAUAGUUAGUGUUAGCUUUAGUAAACUGAUCCGGAACUGACAUUAUGCUUCGUUUGUCGCUGUGCACAAAAAUUCUGAAGAUAUAAUACAUAUUUCAAUUAAAUGUCAAAAUUGUUAAGUAAUGGUUGACUAAAUUGAUACGGUCUGCUGAUAAAACCCACCUUCUAAAAGCAGUGAUUCAUGUUUGAGGUGAACUUACAGGGUUAAACUAAUCUCACGUUGUUUUUGUUUAGAGCUGUGUGUUUAAUAAUAUUUGUUUCCUUGUGAAUUGAGAAUCUGUUGGGGAAAUGAGAGACUACAGUCCAAGGAAAUCCAUUGUUAUUGAAUCCAAUUGUUUUGAACGAGUGUUACAGAGAAACAAGAUACUUUCAUUAUGGUUGUUAGCUCAUUUAGAAUCAGUAUAUUGUUUUCUGUUCAUACGUCGUAGUGUUUAUAUUAAUGAGUUAAUGAGUUGAUUGAAGAAUAUCAAUUUUGUGGAGUUGUACUCUUAGUCUGACUAUUCGUACUAGAACCAUUGAUACAAGUAAAUGAAAAUUGAGUCUUUGAUAUUGCUUUAAUUCAAAAAUGAGAAUUCAUGGUCACUUCAGUAGUGUACCCAGGUCUUGUAUGCUAUUUUCUGCCUUUACUAUUGUUCUGGUUGGUAAAAUGAUAAUGCUAGUAAUACAAUGCUUAAACUAUGUGAUGCCAUGCAUUUUUUAGGAUUUUGUUGCUCGUAAUUAAGAAUGCAAUCGUUGGUAUCUUAUGGAUUGAAAUCAAAUGAACUUAGCCCUUCGAGCUUUAGUUUGAAUACUCUUUUAAAAUGAAAAUAAGAUGCGCCCCACCAAACAAAAUGCAUAAUUUGUGGGGCCCUUUUUAAAUGUCUAUGUUAAAAUACUUAGGAAAUCGGAAAGGGCCGUUUAGCGAAUUUCAUGGCCCUCCCAAAAGAAUACAACGCGCUAGACGCUAUUAGGCGCGACAUUAAUAAAUUACAUUCAUAAGUACGGGUGGGCAUUUUAUGCGGCCCAAAUCCAAAUACUAAAACGUUGAAUAAAGUGUGUCUAUGAUUGCGGGUUCAUUUCAUGCGGCGCAAUCCGAAAACACAUUUUAAACGACGUUCACUUUCUCAAAUAAAUAUAUAUUUAAUAAAAGCGGUUAAAGAUAAAAUUGGCACAUAAGCAUUUCACAAAAUUAGAUUUUAGCCAUUCAUACCAAUUUAAACGACCGUGCUAGAACCACGGGAUCCGAGGGUUCCUAACACCUUCCCUCGGGUCAACAGAAUUCCUUAUUCAGAAUUUCUGGUUCGCAGACUCCAAUUGGGAAGUCGAACAUUUUCUUCGGAUUGGGAUUCAAGCUAAACCGGUGAGUUGGGAUACCAAAAGCCAAACCUUUCCCAAGUGGCGACUCUAAAUAAAUAAAAAUCCCGAUCCAAAUAAUAUCACUUUAAAUGGAAAAAUUCCCUUAUACAUUAUCCUUCGGGGUGAUGUGUGAAAAGGAGGUGUGACAAUACCCUUAGGCCAAAACAAACGCAGGGGCUACAUACCAACGCCUAGUUAAUAAGAACUUCAAACAUCAAAUUGGCCAAUCUAUGGAAGUUUACAUUGAUGACAUGCUAGUUAAGUCCCUGCGCGUAGAGGACCAUUUGACUCAUUUGCAUGAAAUAUUCGAUAUCCCCUGAAGUUACAACAUGAAGCUCAACCCCGAGAAGUGUGCCUCCGGAGUAAGGUCGGUUAAAUUUUUAAGAUUCAUGGUGUCAAAAAGGGGGAUCGAGAUCAACCUCGACAAAAUCAAGGUCAUUGAAAAAAUCACAAUGGUUAACAAUGUGAAGGUCGUGCAACGGCUUACCGGGCAGAUAGCGGCCUUAGGCCGAUUCAUCUCAAGAUCUUCAGAUCAGAGUCAUCAUUUCUUGUCCUUGCUCAAAAAGAAAAACAACUUUGAAUGGACUUCGGAAUGGCAGCACGCUUUAGAGGAGUUAAAGCGAUAUCUCUCAAGCCCGACUUUUCUCCACACCCCGAAAGAAGAUAAAAUAUUAUACUUGUAUUUGGUCGUAUCCAAAGUAGCGGUAAGUGGUGUGUUGGUUAGGGAAAAACAAGGUACGCAAUUCCCUAUUUAUUAUGUAAGUCGGACUCUAGGAGAUGCUUAAACAAAGUAUCCACACUUAGAAAAAUUAGCUCUUGCAUUAAUAAGUGCAUCUCGAAAAUUAAAAUCUUAUUUUCAAUGUCACCGUGUAUGUGUUUUAACAAUAUACCCUCUUCGAAACAUCUUGCACAAACCUGAAUUAUCGGGCAGAUUGGCCAAAUGGGUCAUCAAGCUCGGGGGUAUUAUAUCGAAUAUCAACCUCGGACGGCAAUCAAGUCCCAAAUUCGGUAGACUUCGUGGCUAAUUUUACGCUUGCCCUCGUGCCUGAUGUAGAGAAAGAACUCUUCCUAGAAAUGGGCACAUGAUCUAGGGUAUGGACCCUAUUCACCGAUGGUUCCUCGAAUGUAAAAGGUCCGAGCUCGGCAUCAUUCUGAAACCACCUACGGUUGGCAUGAUUAGGCAAUUUAUAAGAACUCCGAAAUUCACUAACAACGAGGCUGAGUAUGAUGCUAUGAUUGCAGGUCUCGAGUUGGCCAAAAGCCUAGGAGCAGAAGGCGUUGAAGAAAAAUGCGACUCCCUCCUAGUAGUUAACCAAGUGAAUGGGAGCUUUGAGGUCUGAGAAGACAAGAUGCAAAGAUACUUAGACAAACUUCAGGUCAUAUUGCAUCGCUUCAAAGAAUGGACUCCGGUCCACAUUCCCCUAUAUUAGAACAGUAAGGCUGAUACACUCGGGAACCUGGGAUCUACCGUCAAAUGAGCUGACAUACUCCCAGGGACUGUUGUUCAGCUGACCAAGUCUGUGAUUGAAGAAGGACACUCCGAGAUCAACUCAUCAAGUCUAACAUAGGAUUGAAGGAAUAAAUAUAUGGACUAUCUGAAAAACGAGAUCUGGACCAAGUGAGGUGCAUAAAAGAUGAUGACGGCAAAGUUUUGAUGGGGGUGAUCAGAUUAAGAGGAGAUGACAUACAUACUUUCAUAAACUUCUUUAUGGAGAAGGGGAUCAAGAUAUUGUAUUAGGUGAUUUGCGAAAUGCCGACAACCCACAUGAGAUAAACGAUUAUAUUGACAUCGAGGUCGAUGAGGUCAUGGAGGCAAUGCGUAAGAUGAGGAGGGGCAGAGCUACCUGGCCAUACGAAAUUCCAGUUAAACUUUGGAGGUGUGUAGGCAGAGCAGGCUUGGAAUAGCUUACUAGGAUGUUUAAUGUUGUAUUCAAGACUAAUAUGAUGCCUGAAGAGUAGAGGUGGAGUACAAUGGUUCUGUUGUAUAAGAACAAGGGCGAUAUGCAGAGCUGUAACAACUAUAGGGGUAUUAAAUUACUGAGUCAUACCAUGAAAGUCUUGGAGAGAGUGGUAGAAAUGAGAGUGCGAAGGAUGGUGUCUAUUUCAGACAACCAGUUCGGGUUCAUGCCAGGACGAUCUACCACAGAAGCUAUCCACCUUAUUAGGAGGACGAUGGAACAAUAUAGGGAUAAGAAGAAGGAUAGCUUCUGUGGUAGUUGUAUUCAAGACUAAUAGGAUGCCUGAAGAGUGGAGGUGGAGUACAAUGGUUCCGUUGUAUAAGAAUAAGGGCGAUAUCUAGAGCUGUAACAACUAUACGGGUAUCAAGUUAUUGAGUCAUACCAUGAAGUCUGGGAGAGAGUGGUAGAAAUGAGAGUGCGAAGGAUGGUGUCUAUUUCAGACAACCAGUUCGGGUUCAUGCCAGGACGAUCUACCACAGAAGCUAUCCACCUUAUUAGGAGGACGAUGGAACAAUAUAGGGAUAAGAAGAAGGAUCUCCACAUGGUGUUUAUCGAUAUAGAGAAAGCGUAUGAUAGGGUCCUUGUGGAGGUCUUAUGGAGAUGCUUAGAGGUUAAAGAGGCCCCGGCUGCCUACAUUAAGGUGAUUAAAGACAUGUAUGAUAGAGUGAAGACUCGGGUUAGGACAGUAGGAGGCGACUCCGAUCAUUUUUCGGUUGUUACGGGAUUGCACCAAGGGUCUGCGUUCAGCCCUUUCCUAUUUGCCAUGGUUAUGGAUGCCAUAACGCAUAAUAUGCAAGGGAAGGUGUCAUGGUGUAUGUUAUUUGCUGAUGAUAUAGUCCUAAUUGACAAGACAAGACGCGGAGUCAACGAGAGGCUAGAGGUUUGGAGACAGGCCCUUGAGACAUAAGGUUUCAGGUUAAGCAGGACGAAGACGGAAUAUCUCGAGUGCAUUUGGGCCGGAACCGACGGACGCGGGAGUGGAAGUGAGGCUUGACUCUCAAGUCAUCCCUCGGAGGGGUAGUUUCAAGUACCUUGGGUCAGUUAUUCAGGGGUCCGGGGAGAUCGACGAGGAUCUCACACACCGUAUAGGGGUGGGGUGGAUGAAGUGGAGGUUAGCAACGGGAGUCCUGUGUGAUAGGAAAGUGCCACAGCUACUAAAAGCUAAGUUUUAUAGAGCAGUGGUUAGACCGGCCAUGUUGUAUGGGACCGAGCGUUGGCCGGUUAAGAAGUCACACAUCCAAAAGAUGCAAGUAGCUGAGAUGAGGAUGUUGAGGUUGAUGUGUGUGCAUACAAGGAUGGAUAAGAUUAGGAAUGAAGUUAUUCGAGAGAAGGCGCCUAUGGAGGACAAGAUGCGGGAGACAAGACUCAGAUGGUUCGCGCACAUUCAGAGGAGGAGCAUUGACGCACCGGUGAGAAGUUGUGAGCGACUGGCGGUGGUGGGCACGCGGAGAGGAAGAGGGAGACCUAAGAAAUAUUGGGGAGAGGUUAUAAGGCAGGACAUGAUGCGACUUAUGAUUACUGAGGACAUGGCCCUUGAUAUGGGAUUUUGGAGGUCGAGCAUUAAGGUUGUAGGUUAGAGGGAAGUUGGGAAUAUUUCUAAAGCGCGCUGGAGUGAGACUAGACAUUUAGGAGUUAGGGUUAGGGUGCUACUAAUCAGCUACUUAUGCAGGGCUUUAGAUUCUAGAUAUUAGCAUACAUUCCCCUUUCUCGUAUUCCUUACAUUCCUUAUAUUUUGUUAUUUACUAUUUUAUGUUAUGUUGUCUAUUUUAUGUCAUUUAUUAUGAGUUUAUUGAUAGUACUAAUACGUUGUUACUUGUUUCCGUCUUGAGCCAAGGGUCUCCUGGAAACAGCCACUCUGCCCCUCGGGGUAGGGGUAAGGUCUGCGUACAUAUUACCCUCCCCAGACUCCACUUCUGGGAGUAUACUGGGUUGUUGUUGUUGUUGUUGUUGAAAAACUGGAAGCUGGCCACAGAUCCAAAGGAUUCAAGUGUCCUCCGAGCCAAAGCAGCUGGAUUUUCACUCAAUGAGAAUGAAAUGCUAUAUGGAAGGACCUUCGAUGGACCUCUAGCAGUAUGCUUGGGACUAGGGGACGCUGAUUAUGCACUUUGAGAAAUCCACGAAGGCACUUGCGAAAACCAUUCCGGCGUCGAUCCAUUGGUUCGAAGGACACCAAGGAAUUCAUUCGAAGAUGUGACAAAUGCCAAAGUUUUGCACCGAUGAUCCACCAACCCGGUGAACAACUACAUUCAGUCUUAUCACUAUGAUCGUUUAUGAAAUGGGGGAUGGACAUCGCGACCCCCUACCAACGGCACCAGGUAAGUCCAGAUAUAUUCUGUUUAUGACUGAUUAUUUCUCGAAAUGGGUGUGAGUGUUAAGAGUAUUUAUUUAUUGAGAGUAUUUUGCAAGAGAGUUGAGUGUUGGAAAAUACUUGUGUGAUCUCCUUUUCUCUCCUACUUUAUUUAUUGAGAGUAUAGUUGAGUGUUGGAAAAUACUUGUGUGAUCUCCUUUCUAUGAAAUGAUCUUGUAAAGUUAUUCUCUCGGGGGUAUUUGGGAUUAAUUAGAGUCUUUCCUCCAAUUAUGUACUCUCAUUUGUUCUCUUAUUGGUAUAAAGAAUUUGCUCCUCUUCACUUGUAGAUGUAGGUCACUUUGACUGAACCACAUUAAAUUUGUGUCUUCUUUAUAUGCUUUAAUUAGCGUCUUUAUCAACUUCGAUUGUCUACUUAUUGUCAUUAUAACAUUGUUUGGCUAAAUUUUACACUGCCCGUUCCCGAUCCUAACAACUUUGUAAAAUUGUAUAUAUGUCACCUAGUUACAAUGUAUAUUUGUGAAGUGUACUUAUGUGUAAUUCUCUCUUCCUACCAACAAAAAAAAGGUGUAAUUCUCUCUUUCAUAUUUGAGGUAAAUACGCGUAAAGAUUUAUCGGCGGGAUUGGAUUUGGACUUUUGGUCUUCUAGACAAAGACGAAGCGUGCAGUGUGGACAAGGAGGAGCUCAUCAAAUUUGACUAUGUAUUUUUUUUAGCGACUAGCUAUAUUCAUUUCGAAUAUUUUGAUAGUUUAUUUUGAGCAUUUGUAUCCUUCUCCUCUUGAUUUGGGAGACAAGUAUUAAAAUGUAAAUUAGUCAACAUGCAUUAAUAUAACUCAAGAGACAUACCUUUUUUUAUCUUCCAAAAUCAAACUUUUCAGCUCCUUAAAUAACAUAUACGAGAGUUCUGCGUAAAAUCCUCUUUCUCUUAACUUAGACGAAAAAGAAGGGGUUGAGUUGAAGGGACUCGCCGUGACCCGUUUGUCCAUGAUUUUUUUUUCUUAUUUUCAGAUUCUUUUCAGAA